rnacentral:rRNA from 1 species
UACGAAGGGUGCAAGCGUUAAUCGGAAUUACUGGGCGUAAAGCGCACGUAGGCGGCUUUGUAAGUUAGAGGUGAAAGCCCGGAGCUCAACUUCGGAAUUGCCUUUAAGACUGCAUCGCUUGAAUCAUGGAGAGGUCAGUGGAAUUCCGAGUGUAGAGGUGAAAUUCGUAGAUAUUCGGAAGAACACCAGUGGCGAAGGCGACUGACUGGACAUGUAUUGACGCUGAGGUGCGAAAGCGUGGGGAGCAAACAGG